AGUAAGGCUUUCAGUACAUUAGUAGCAAGUAAAAUGCAAAUGCUUUUUAACAUGAGUAAACUAAAGUAAAGCAGGCGUGUCAUUUCAUUAUUAUACAUGCACACAUAUUUUAGUGGUAGGAUUCGUUCCGUAUGGAGGGAUCAUAUUAUCAGUGUAUUUGAAUUGGUUCUUAACUUUUUAUAUUGGUUAUCCAGUUUUUGUUAUCAUGAGAAAAACAAAAUUAAAAUUAAAAUACAAACAUAUCCUUUCACAAUGACUAGCACUUUGCACAUUUUCCCGAAAGAAAAUCAUUUUCCUCGAUCAGAUUCCACUCAAGUAGAGUUGAUGAGGGCGCUCAUCAUUUUAAAGGAACUUUUAUUACAAUUGUCAUUGUUAAAUUUUUUAUUUAUCUUUAUAUAUAUGAUCCAUAUAUGUGAGAUAUGUGCACUCUGUUGCAGGAAUAUGGGCCGGUAUAUCAACGGUGGUUCACACGCAGUUGUUCUCACAUUCGUCAAAAGAAAGGCAAGCCCGCCGGAUGGCUUUUACUCCUACCAAGAUUGUAUCUGUGCCUAAAGUUUUAGUCAUCGACAUCUUGUAUGGUAUAAAUUGUAGGAAAAUAGGAGAGACAGAAGAGGGAUAGAGAUAGAUCUUCCCCAGAGACAUCAGUAUUAAUUAAGCCAAUAAGGCUUAAGGUUAAAUUUUCAAAAACCCUGCAAAUACCCCUCUCUUUAUAUAAGUCCACUGCUAAUCAAUUAAAUAAAAGAAGAGGGUAAAAGAGUAAUGGUACAUGCAGCUGUGAGGAUUAUACAGACGGCGAGGAUUACACAAACCAAAACUGUUUGCAGUUUUCAUUUGUGAGAGUUGGUUACGGAUGGCUCAAAUGAUGAGCCACGAAGAACUCCCGAUGGGGAAGGGUAUCUUCUUCUACGACGAUCCCUCGCAACUCGAGGAGGCCCAGCUACGCUUACACCGCCUCAAGACCAAGUUUCACAAGGUCUUCGGGCACCUUCCUCAAGUCUACGCUCGCUCUCCAGGGAGAGUGAAUUUGAUUGGAGAGCAUACAGACUAUGACGGAUUCUCGGUGUUGCCGAUGGCGAUAUAGCAGGAUAUAUACUAUUGUGGCGAUUAGGAGGAACGAAGGGGAGAAGGUUCUGAGAAUUGCGAAUGUUAAUGAUAAGUAUGAAAUGUGUACUUAUCCUUCUUAUCCUAACCAGGUACAAAUGUUUCUAUGAAUUUGCCAAAUCCCGAGGAAUAGAUCUGGGUGCACCAGUGGAACAGUUCCUACAGGUCUUUGUAAAGAUAUAAGAUGGCUGUCAUUUGGAUGGUCUCUGAACCGGGUCAGUGAAGAAGGAAAACAGAGACACAGUUUCUUUUCUAUGGUAUUUCCUGUAUAACAAAUCGGAGAACUGGGGAAGAAAGAAGUAUAAAGCUGAUUACGAGGGAAUAGGAUGGAACAGAGUGGAAGACCGAAAAGGAGUAUAAACUACUUGGGUGAUAGAGUUUGCUCCCUUCCAUUAAUUUUUUUACUUUUUUCAUUCUUUUCUUUGGCUUACCUUUUUUCAUCUUCAUAUCCCAGAUUAAGCGUGGGUUUGGGUAUGAACAGUUAGUAGUGGCUACUAGCAAUGUACUGUAGUCUGUAUGGCUUCUUUUUUCUUUUUUAGUGUGUUCUUUUGUCCUUGAUGCUGCUCAUGUCUAGGUGGCUCUCAAAAUCGGUGUGUAAUUUUCAUUGAAUGUAUUAUCUUUCUCAAAACAGUUUCAUUCCUUCAGUUUGAUCAUGGGAAGGUUGUGGUCACUGGUGGAAGACACAAGACACAGGGGGACGUAUUUAAGUCAUUGAUAGGGAGAAGCAUAUAUUCAGGGCUGUGAUUAUUUGCGUCUUCCAUGGCUCAGUAAUGUGUUCAGCAUUUGUAAGAGUACAAAGGCUUGAGUUUUCCUUCUCGAGUAAAAGGUAUUGAGCUGUCCAUUGCAGAUGGGAACAAGAGAAGACUUGGCUGCUCAAAGGGCUACCACUACGUAAAAUGUUCAAAGAAAUAUGUGGUCGAUGUGCGAUUUGUAAUUUAGAUGCUACUUGGGUGAACCAAUUGAGCAAUUGAAUCUUUUUAAUUAGCUUUUCUGAGAAAGAUUUUCAUGUUCUUUGGUAGUCCUAAUUUGUGAAAGAUUUUUCCUUUUAUACCUAUUGACUUACAUGACUGGAAACAAUUUGUAUUAGUUUACAAAAUUGUGUGUAAUUUUUUAUUUUGGUGUA